CGUGAAAUUGUUGAAAGGGAAGCGCUUGCAACCAGACUUGAGCGCGGCCGAUCAUCCGGUGUUCUCACCGGUGCACUCGGCCGUGCUCAGGCCAGCAUCGGUUUUGGCGGCUGGAUAAAGGCCCUAGGAAUGUGGCUCCUCUCGGGGAGUGUUAUAGCCUAGGGUGCAAUGCAGCCUGCCGGGACCGAGGACCGCGCUUCGGCUAGGAUGCUGGCGUAAUGGUUGUAAGCGGCCCGUCUUGAAACACGG
rnacentral:rRNA from 1 species